AUUGAACGCUGGCGGCGUGCUUAACACAUGCAAGUCGAACGGCAGCAUGUUUUGUAGCAAUACAAAAUGAUGGCGAGUGGCGGACGGGUGAGAAACGCGUAGGAAUCUACCCUAAAGAGGGGGGCAACCCGAGGAAACUCGGGCUAAUACCGCAUAUUACUCUUUGGAGGAAAGGCUGGGGCAACCUGGCGCUUUAGGAGGAGCCUGCGUCCGAUUAGCUAGUUGGUUAGGUAAAGGCUGACCAAGGCGAUGAUCGGUAGCUGGUCUGAGAGGAUGAUCAGCCGCACUGGGACUGAGACACGGCCCAGACUCCUACGGGAGGCGGCAGUGGGGAAUAUUGGACAAUGGGGGCAACCCUGAUCCAGCAAUGCCGCGUGUGUGAAGAAGGCCUUCGGGUUGUAAAGCACUUUAGUUGGGGAAGAAGGUGUAUUGUUGAAGAGGGGAUACAUUUGACUGUACCCAAAGAAUAAGCACCGGCUAACUCUGUGCCAGCCGCCGCCGUAA
rnacentral:rRNA from 1 species